rnacentral:rRNA from 1 species
UACGGAGGAUGCAAGCGUUAUCCGGAAUUAUUGGGCGUAAAGCGUCCGCAGGUGGUUAUCCAAGUCUGCUGUUAAAGCGCGAGGCUUAACUUCGUACAGGCAGUGGAAACUGGGUGACUGGAGUAUGGUAGGGGCAGAGGGAAUUCCUGGUGUAGCGGUGAAAUGCGUAGAGAUCAGGAAGAACAUCGGUGGCGAAGGCGCUCUGCUGGACCAUAACUGACACUCAGGGACGAAAGCUAGGGGAGCGAAUGGG